UACAUAGGGUGCAAGCGUUGUCCGGAAUUAUUGGGCGUAAAGAGCUCGUAGGUCGUUUGUUACGUCGGAUGUGAAAACCUGAGGCUCAACCUCAGGCCUGCAUUCGAUACGGGCAAACUAGAGUUUGGUAGGGGAGACUGGAAUUCCUGGUGUAGCGGUGGAAUGCGCAGAUAUCAGGAGGAACACCAAUGGCGAAGGCAGGUCUCUGGGCCAUUACUGACACUGAGGAGCGAAAGCGUGGGGAGCGAACAGG
rnacentral:rRNA from 1 species